rnacentral:misc_RNA from 1 species
CCCACCCGAUUCACCAGUGCGUGAGGGAGAAGCGGGGGCACGGUACCUGUGCUUUCUUUGAGAACAAGCGAGCAGGGCAGGGUGAGGAGAGGAGGGCGCGGUGACCAGAUCACCCGAGGCAGAGCAGACUGACAUCAUCGUGUAUCGGAGACUCUGACCUGCAUCGAUCCGUGUUUUUGCGUUUGCCCUUCAUCGGGACCCCUCCGCCUCUCCCUCCCUGACACCCACCUCCGCCCACUCACACAACAAUGCCCAGCAGCUUUGCGGCACAGCAGCAGGGGAGCUGCAAUCCACACCAGAACCCGGUACGGUCGCACAAGGGCGGCUAUCUUCGUUGCCCAUUCAACAUCAGCUCCAGCUAUGCGGAGCUUGCCGAGCGGCGAGUGCGCGAGGACCUGACGCGCGGCCGCAGCAGCGGCCGCAGCGGAGCCGCCGUAGCGGACAAGGAUGGGGUGAUGGCGUUUUCUUCCACAGGACCGCAGUUGGACAGCGACGGCAUCGACGGCGACUUCGCUGGGCGCCCGUGGAGUCGUGCCGGUGUAGGGGCAAACAGGUUGUCUGGAAAAGAAAAGCGAACGCAGCAAGAGCAGGCGGAGCUCAUCUACGGCCGCGGCACACUCGCUGGGGAUGACGGCGUCGUGGCGGCUACUGGGGCGGUAUCCGUAACGAGCGAUCUGUCUCGGGAGAACAUGUUUGCCGUCGAUGUGCGCGACCGUGCGGCGCUGCAGAAGGUCGUGCCGCGCGCGGUGCGCGAAAAGGUGAAGCGGCGCAAGCUCGAGGAUUUUAAGAAGGAGCGUCUAUCCCCAGGCAAUCACCACCGUCACGGGUGUGCUCCGUUGCACACGGAUCGCGCCGCAGAUGAGGAGGCGGGAGAGGAAGAUGGCGUGGAAAGUCGUUCUGAAGAUCACAUGGCGGUGCCCCCUCCCGAGUGUACACGCUUUUCAUUGCCGGCAGCUGGCUCUUCCAGAAAUGGUGUGCCACCGUUUCCCCACUCUGCAGGCAGUAAGGACCAUUCUAGCGGCGGGAGCAGCAGUGCCAACGCUCGCGCCGAGCGGUUGCCAGGCAGCGGUCCGUCCGAUGCGUCAGCUCAGCGCCCGCCUCUCCGAGAGCCCACACCAGCUCCCGCAUCGGCAAAACCGAACUGCCCAAAGAACCGCAUGCAGAUGUUGGACGGCUUGCGUGCCUCUGCGCUCAUGGGCAAGAAGGGCCGACGAUAGGCCUCGUGAAAGGGGCCGCACGCUGGAUCUGUGCGCGUCGGAUAGGAAACACUGUUAAGCAAAAAC